CAGUAGCCACGGUAACACAGAGGAUGCAAGCGUUAUCCGGAAUGAUUGGGCGUAAAGCGUCUGUAGGUGGCUUUUCAAGUCCGCCGUCAAAUCCCAGGGCUCAACCCUGGACAGGCGGUGGAAACUACCAAGCUGGAGUACGGUAGUGGCAGAGGGAAUUUCCGGUGGAGCGGUGAAAUGCGUUGGGAUCGGAAAGAACACCAACGGCGAAAGCACUCUGCUGGGCCGACACUGACACUGAGAGACGAAAGCUAGGGGAGCAAACAGGAUUAGAUACCCCAGUAGUCCCUGUCUCUUAUAC
rnacentral:rRNA from 1 species